AUACGUAGGUGGCAAGCGUUGUCCGGAUUUAUUGGGUUUAAAGGGUGCGUAGGCGGCCCUGUAAGUCAGUGCUGAAAUAUCCCAGCUUAACUGGGAGGGUGGCAUUGAUACUGCGGGGCUAGAGUACAGAUGAGGUAGGCGGAAUUGACGGUGUAGCGGUGAAAUGCUUAGAUAUCGUCAAGAACACCUAUAGCGAAGGCAGCUUACUAGGCUGUAACUGACGCUGAGGCACGAAAGUGUGGGGAUCAAACAGGA
rnacentral:rRNA from 1 species